GCCAUUGAAAACGUUGAAAUUAUCCGGCCUGUCACGCCGGAGGUCGCGGGUUCGAGCCCCGUCUCUCGCGCCA
rnacentral:tRNA from 1 species